GAAAUGCGAUAAGUAAUGUGAAUUGCAGAAUUCAGUGAAUCAUCGAAUCUUUGAACGCACCUUGCGCUCCUUGGUAUUCCUUGGAGCAUGCCUGUUUGAGUAUCAUGAAAUCUUCAAAGUAAAUCUUUUGUUAACUCAAUUGGUUUCUACUUUGGUAUUGGAGGUCUUUGCAGCUUCACACCUGCUCCUCUUUGUUCAUUAGCUGGAUCUCAGUGUUAUGCUUGGUUCCACUCGGCGUGAUAAGUUAUCUAUCGCUGAGGACACUGUAAAAGGUGGCCAAGGUAAAUGCAGAUGAACCGCUUCUAAUAGUCCAUUGACUUGGACAAUACAUUUAUGAUCUGAUCUCAAAUCAGGUAGGACUACCCGCUGAACUUAAGC
rnacentral:misc_RNA from 1 species